ACCCCCUUCUGAGUGUAACAUGUAUGCGAAUGUUUUGGACAGGUUUCUGCAGGAAGUUACUUCGCCAUUCUUCUGUUGACGUCAACAAACGCAUUCUUUGGGUACAAUAAAUUAGCCUCGCCAUUGUCAAACUUAUAGUCUGCCUGCAGACUGUGGAAUCUACGUUUUUAAUGUAAAUAUCUUGCUGGCAUUUUCAAAACACACAUAAGAAUAGGUUAAGAAUUUCUUAAAAAAGCAUUGACGCCGUUCUCUGAGUUUAUAUCUGUGUUAGUUUCCUUAAAAUUAUAUCGUUAACGCGUCAGGACUGUGCAUUGGGAAAAAUAUCUUCAGGGGCUUGUGAACUUCUAGAUCUAGCUUAAUAUGUACCCUUAGCUGUUUAAGAAGUUAAAAUGCAGACUUUUGAAGCAUAUUCUCCACUAUUAUAUCUAAAUCUACAUACAUCGUAAGGUGAAUUUCAUGAGACAAUAACGACUCACCUUUUUGCGUAAUGCAGCUUUGGAGAUGAACACGUACAGAGAAAAUGGCUUUAUUUGAUGGCUGCCGACACGGAAUUUAUAAACACCUACGCAUAGUAAAACGAAUGUUUGUUUUGUACAUACCAAACAUCUUCCAUAAAAAAAAUUGCUUAAAAGGAAUGUAGAGACAACAUAUGGUUUAUUUAUACGUUAAACGGCACGUCGCCACCCGGGAACAUUUGAUGUGCAGUUCAAAAAGCUAUUUUAAAACACAGACGCGAUAUCAUUCAGCUUCUUGAAAGUUCUUAUUAGCAACAAUUAUUCGCUAUGCCAUCAUAUCAAGUCUCGAAAUAAAAAAAGGUGUGAAGAUACUUGCCGACAACUUGCUCUUUGUUUUUAUCGAAUGUAAUCUUUGAUAUCAAGAUUCUUUCCACGUUGGAGAAAAUAUGAAAAAGAAAUUAACGGUUGAGUCGUGCAUGCAAAGUGUCGCAAUUAAACAUUGUUUAUUUUGGUCAAUUAUAUAAAAUGUUUUUGA